GGGGCAAGGACAUCCUCGAAUUGAGGAAGGGUUGGAAAUCUCAGGCUCCAAUAAAUGCAUUGUAAAUUUAAGGUAUAUCGGUAUAUAAUGGUAUAUUUAAUGAAUUUCAUCCGUCUUUGCAAUUCCAUUAACCAGGUAUGUUCAAUAAGAUAUGGUAUCCAAACUCCCAUACGUAUGUUAUUCUAAUGUCCCUCGAGGAUUUUCUCUCUUUUCCGUAGGGAAUUUUCUCUCACUCUCAUUUAAAGGAAUAUUUCUCUCUCGCAAAAUGGGAACUUUCAUCGCAGUCUUCCAUCACCACCUACGUUGAAUUCCAUCACCACUUACGUAUUUUAACGUUAGCAACACAAUUUGUAUGAACCAGCAACAUUGUUCCCCAUCAUUUUUCAUGGAAUAAGCAACAUUUAGUACCCUUGGAGGGAGGGAUGUCCUCGAAUUAAGAAAAUGCUGGAAAUCUUUGGCUCUAUUCAAUGAAAAUACAAGUAAAUCUGCGUUGGAGAGAUAUCUUAACAAAUUAUCCAUAAAAUAGAUACCGAUACAGAUUUACAUCUGUAUAUAUCUUAUAUAGAAAACAAAUAAAUAAUUUAGGAGCAUGCCAAUCUAAUAUUAAGGCACUAUAAUGCUUAAGAGCAGCUUUGAAAACGAAAUUUUAAUAUUAAAUAAUGGAAACAGGGUAUGCAAAGGAGCAUACUACUGGGUGGCCA
rnacentral:lncRNA from 1 species